UCUCCGUUGGUGAACCAGCGGAGGGAUCAUUACAGAGUUCUACAACUCCAAACCCCUGCGAACCUACCCCCAGUUUGGUCUCGUCGCCUCCUGACUGCUGGCCCCCGGCGCCGCCGCCGGGGCCCACGCCAGCGGCGGCGAGUUCCCUGAACCUUUUUUUCUCAACCAGCCCUUCUGAUCAAACCAACAAAUGAAUCAAAACUUUCAACAACGAAUCUCUUGGUUCUGUCAUCGAUGAAGAACGCAGCAGAUCGGAAGCGCUCACGUCUUAACUCAAGU
rnacentral:misc_RNA from 1 species